AUGUCUGACACCAUAGAAAUCAGCACAUAAAGUGAAACAAGUCGAGGGAAAUGGGAUUCCAGUGAAUUGAUGUACAGAACUGAUGAUGCAGAACCAGUCUAAACAAAUGAUUGAGGGAAGGCAGUAAGUCCCUGUUUGGCAUCCAGGGUUAAAAGCAUACUAGGAUGGAGUUCGGUUGACUGAGUGGAGCUGAACAUUUAUUGGCCGGAUGCUCUUCCUGACACCUACACAAAGUUUGCAGCAGAUAUUUACUCUUCGCCCUAAUAGAGUAACAUCUCUCACUGCCUGGGAUUGAACUCUCAACCUCCUGAGUGUGCCACCCCACCGUUCAACUACCAGGUAUGCCAAAUUCCCGGCCUCCUUAUGCUUCACAAUCAGAUUCAUAAAGCUCUACAUUAAUAUUAUCAAGAACAAUAAUGACUGCUUACCUUUAUG